rnacentral:snRNA from 1 species
AUCUGGCUGCGACAUGUGGGUCCCUCCUGAAGCUGCGUGCUCUGUCUGUUGAAGAGGCCUUCCCCAAAUAGAGAGGGACCUGUCUUUGGUGGAGGGUAUAGGAGUAGUUGGGCUCCCCUGUAGAACCUCCAAACAAGCUCUCAAGAAUAGGGAAGUUUGGGGGUUUUUUGUUUGUUUUUUGUGUGUGUGUCACUCUGUGUGUCUCUGUGU